UUGGAUUGCUUCUUUCAACGU
rnacentral:piRNA from 1 species